rnacentral:rRNA from 1 species
CAGCAGCCACGGUAACACGUAUGUCACAAGCGUUAUCCGGAUUUAUUGGGCGUAAAGCGCGUCUAGGUGGUUAUGUAAGUCUGAUGUGAAAAUGCAGAGCUCAACUCUGUAUUGCGUUGGAAACUGUGUAACUAGAGUACUGGAGAGGUAAGCGGAACUACAAGUGUAGAGGUGAAAUUCGUAGAUAUUUGUAGGAAUGCCGAUGGGGAAGCCAGCUUACUGGACAGAUACUGACGCUGAAGCGCGAAAGCGUGGGUAGCAAACAGGAUUAGAUACCCCCGUAGUCCCUGUCUCUUAUACA